GUCGGAGAAUUAGAAAAACAUAUGGAAGAGAAUUUGUGAAAUUAAUACCCAAAAUAUUCUUUGGACGAAAACAAAAGAAAGAAAUUACCCAGACAUUCCAAUUAUUGGCAAGCAUUUCUUAGACGUUUUAUCCGCACAAAAAAAAAAGAAAAAUAAUUGCCAAUAAUACCCUUAAGCAAAUACUUGGCAACGAAGAAAAGGGAAACGAACCCGAAAACAUAAAGCCAACGAACGGAAACUACUGUUGACAGGAAAUACACUUGAAAUUGGCAAUUUUGCAUUUACGUUAAUAAUACUCAAGCGUAUUUACCAGGAACACUAGUAGGAGUAGUAGCAUUGCUACUUUACAACUAACUAUGUUGCCGCCAAUCUUUAUCCUGUGACAAGAACAACCUUCACAACCCAACAACAACAUCUUGCUAGCCCCGUAUAAAUAAGUAAGUGUUAAAGGAAAGGAACAGUCAAAUUGCUGGGCUAGAGAAGUAAAAUCGUCAUUUGAUGUGGAAGGUAAAGAAAGACAUGAAAUUGACGACGAUGACAACAAGAAAAUUGGUAUUUUAAUGCUCCAAGGCAUUAAGUUAAGGUUCCUCGAAAAUAUAUUUUUGGUGGAUUUUUAAGGGCAGGCUUGGAAGCCGCCAAUAUAUAUUUAACUACGGAGUAUGUGCAUUUAUUGGUAAUAUAGAGUCAUUUAUUGGAAAAAACAUCAAAUUUUGUCUCCAGGUAAGGUGGAAUGAAAAAGAAGAAAAUAAUAUUAAAGUAAAAUGAAAUAAAAAGAAAAAAUACAAAACGGAACGGAACGGAAAAUGAACAGCAAUGUGGAGAAGUAAAAUAUGUUAAAAUGAAAUAAAAAGAAAAAAUAUUUAUGAAAACGAGUUGGUUUCAGAGGAGAUAAUUUUCUCAACGGAAAAAUGUGGAGAA